CCUCCAUUCUGCUCUGUCGUCUGCCCGGUGUUCAUCCAAUCCCACCGAAGCCAGUUCUUCCUGUAUACACCUUCUCCACGUUCUCCUAGGUCUACCAACUGGUCUCCUUCCUUCUACCUCCAUUCUGCUCUGUCGUCUGCCCGAUGUUCAUCCAAUCCCACCGAAGCCAGUUCUUCCUGUAUACACCUUCUCCACGUUCUCCUAGGUCUACCAACUGGUCUCCUCCCUUCUACCUAAAAUCUCUCCACAGCUCCCAGCACUGCAUCCUCCCGGGGCUAUUACACUGGGCAAAUUUUCCGUGGAUCUUCAGUCAAACCAUGAUUUCCGCUCGCGUGGUUCUCAUUUCUUUCUUGUUAUUGCUGCUGCUGAUGAUGGUGAGUAAUACCGUCGUCCUUCGGUGAAAUCUAACGUAGCCUUGGAAGAUCGUGGACACGUCAGAAAACCACGGAAAUAUGAGAACCACGCCAACGGAAAUCGUGAUUUGACUGAAGAUCCACGGAAAAUUUGCCCAGUGUAAUAGCCCCUUUACAUGUCCAAGCCAUCGGAGUCUUUCCCUUAUGAGCACUGUUUCCAGGUCCUCUGUUUCACAUCUGUAAGCUACAUCUGCACUGGACACCCUGUCUUGCCACCUUGCCACCAGAUAGAUAGACGGAUAGAUAAAGAGAUAUAGAUAGACAUAGAUAAAUCAGCAGAAACGGAUGGACGAAUACAGGAUAAAGGAGACGAAAGAGAGGGGGAAAAAUGAGAGGGAGAGAGAGAGAGGAAAGAAAUGAGAUGGGAAAGAAAGUGGAGUGAGGAGAAAAAGUGGAGAGUAACAAUUUUGAAAGGCUAAACUAAUGAUAAACUAGAGAAAUAAAGAAUAAACUAGACAAUACUUAACCGGUGGAAAAAGAAUAGCACUAAAAAAAUAUAAUAAUAAUAUUAAUAAUAAUAAUAAUAAUAAUAAAAACUUUGACCAUACCAUGAGAAGAGCGAUUAUACAUCAAUUUAAUAACAAAAUACUAACCAAUUUUGUACUGUCAAAAUACUGCAGUUACACUUACCUGUGGAACUCACAAACUGCUUAGAAUCUACUGAUAAUAUAAAUAAUAAUAACAAUAAUAUCCCAUGACUCUGCACUAUUGCCAAAGGGUCAGCUUCUGGGUAGUGCGCCACAUGCCCAUAUAGCCGAAGUUGGCGGGCUAUUACACUGGGCAAAUUUUCCGUGGAUCUUCAGUCAAACCACGAUUUCCGCUGGCGUGGUUCUCAUAUUUCCGUGGUUUUCUGACGUGUCCACGAUCUUCCAAAGCUACGUUAGAUUUCCGCUGGCGUGGUUCUCAUAUUUCCGUGGUUUUCUGACGUGUCCACGAUCUUCCAAAGCUACGGUAGAUUUCCGCUGGCGUGGUUCUCAUAUUUCCGUGGUUUUCUGACGUGUCCACGAUCUUUCAAAGCUACGAUAGAUUUCAAAGAAGGACGACGGUAUUAAUCACCAUCAUCAGCAGCAGCAAUAACAAGAAACAAAUGAGACCCACGCCGGCGGGAAUCGUGGUUUGACUGAAGAUCCACGGAAAAUUUGCCCAGUGUAAUAGCCCCUUAAGUCCCUCGGAGCAGCCGGCGAACGUUCCAGGGACUCCACACAACCUUCAUCUCCCCAUUGCUUUCUCUCCUUAUUCCCAAAAGAGCAGGCAAGGGCAGAGAAGCCAAAGGAGGAAAGCGACUGCCAACGACCUUUCCUUUCCGUCCCUUCACAGGAAAAGCAGCGAAGGGCAGAGAAAUGAACGGGGAAAGGCGUGUGCGAUGACCUAUACAAACCGUUCCUCUUCGUCCCUUCCCGUCCCUUCACAGAAAAAGCAGUAAAGGGCAGAGAGAUGAACGGAGGCAGCGUCUGUUAAUGACCGUCCCUUCCCGUCCCUUCACAGAAAAAGCAGUAAAGGGCAGAGAGAUGAACGGAGGAAGCGUCUGUUAAUGACCGUCCCUUCUCGUCUCUUCACAGAAAAAGCAGAGAGGGGCAGAUAAAUGAACGGGGGAAGCGUCACUUAACGACCGUCCCUUCCCGUCCCUUCACAGAAAAAGCAGUGAAGGGCAGAGAGAUGAACGGGGGAAGCGUCACUCAACGACCGUCCCUUCCCGUCCCCUCACAGAAAAAGCAGUGAAGGGCAGAGAGAUGAACGGGGGAAGCGUCACUCAACGACCGUCCCUUCCCGUCCCUUCACAGAAAAAGCAGAGAGGGGCAGAUAAAUGAAAGGGGGAAGCGUCACUUAACGACUGUCCCUUCCCGUCCCUUCACAGAAAAAGCAGAGAGGGGCAGAUAAAUGAAAGGGGGAAGCGUCACUUAACGACUGUCCCUUCCCGUCCCUUCACAGAAAAAGCAGAGAGGGGCAGAUAAAUGAAAGGGGGAAGCGUCACUUAACGACUGUCCCUUCCCGUCCCUUCACAGAAAAAGCAGAGAGGGGCAGAUAAAUGAAAGGGGGAAGCGUCACUCAACGACCGUCCCUUCCCGUCCCUUCACAGAAAAAGCAGUGACGGGCAGAGAGAUGAACGGGGGAAGCGUCACUCAACGACCGUCCCUUCCCGUCCCUUCACAGAAAAAGCAGAGAGGGGCAGAUAAAUGAAAGGGGGAAGCGUCACUUAACGACUGUCCCUUCCCGUCCCUUCACAGAAAAAGCAGUGAAGGGCAGAGAGAUGAACGGGGGAAGCGUCACUCAACGACCGUCCCUUCCCGUCCCUUCACAGAAAAAGCAGUGAAGGGCAGAGAGAUGAACGGGGGAAGCGUCACUCAACGACCGUCCCUUCCCGUCCCUUCACAGAAAAAGCAGUGAAGGGCAGAGAGAUGAACGGGGGAAGCGUCACUCAACGACCGUCCCUUCCCGUCCCUUCACAGAAAAAGCAGUGAAGGGCAGAGAGAUGAACGGGGGAAGCGUCACUCAACGACCGUCCCUUCCCGUCCCUUCACAGAAAAAGCAGUGAAGGGCAGAGAGAUGAACGGG